rnacentral:tRNA from 1 species
GCGCGAAUAGUGUAGCGGUUAGCAUGCGUGCUUCCCAGCAUUGCUUUCUCAAGCAUAGCUCCUAAGCACGCGACCCGGGUUCGAGUCCCGGUUCGCGCA